UUACAACUUUUAAUUGAUAUUUUAAAUAAGCUAUUAUAUCUUGCUACUCUCCCCUCAAACACUUGCAUACAUAGGAGAGGGCAGCUGACUUGCAUGUAUCUGAAAAGCCUCCCUGAACAGGUGAUGUUGUGACAGAUACUCACUAGAAAUAUAUAUGUAUGUUUAGCAUUCACUCCUCUGGGCACUUGGGCACUGGGAAUACAAAGAUAAAUAAAAUACUCAAUGCUUUGAGAUAUUCAUGAUUAAGCUGAGCAAACCACAGAAAAUUAUAAUGCUGUAAUUGUUAUGUUAAAUAAAUGACAUCAUCAUGCAUAGAGUUCUGUAGGGUCACAGAGAAAGAAGAUCACCAAAGGCCAGGCACGGUGG
rnacentral:lncRNA from 10 species